rnacentral:rRNA from 1 species
UACGAAGGGGGCUAGCGUUGCUCGGAAUCACUGGGCGUAAAGCGCACGUAGGCGGCUUUCUAAGUCAGUGGUGAAAUCCUGGAGCUCAACUCCAGAACUGCCUUUGAUACUGGAGAGCUAGAGUCCGGAAGAGGUGAGUGGAACUGCGAGUGUAGAGGUGAAAUUCGUAGAUAUUCGCAAGAACACCAGUGGCGAAGGCGGCUCACUGGUCCGGUACUGACGCUGAGGUGCGAAAGCGUGGGGAGCAAACAGG